GGAUUUUGGUUUUCGACCCUGUUUCCUGCAUCUGGUUUAUGCCUCAGCCUGCUCCUUGCCUGACGUCUCUUGUUCAGAUCAUUGACCCUGUUUCUGCCCCCGGAUUAUUGAGCCAGCCUAGCCCUUAGAUUAUUCAGCCUAAAGUAACAUGUCUCUCUUACCUGCGCUGUGGAGAUCACGGCCUGCCACCCACCGAGGUUUCUCCUCUGGCUUUCAAGUUCUACCCAAGCAGUGAUUUCCAGUAGCUGUGGAUUUUUACCUGAGUGAUGUUUUCCUGUGGCUGAAUAAACCUUUUUAAAUUUUCA